rnacentral:rRNA from 1 species
GACAGAGGUGGCGAGCGUUGUUCGGAUUUAUUGGGCGUAAAGCGUACGCAGGCGGUUUGGUAAGUCAGAGGUGAAAGCCCACAGCUUAACUGUGGCACUGCCUUUGAUACUGCCUUUCUAGAGUGCAUGAGGGGGAAGCGGAAUUCCGAGUGUAGAGGUGAAAUUCGUAGAUAUUCGGAGGAACACCGGUGGCGAAGGCGGCUUCCUGGCACGUAACUGACGCUCAUGUACGAAAGCGUGGGGAGCAAACAGG